rnacentral:rRNA from 1 species
AUUGAACGCUGGCGGCAUGCCUUACACAUGCAAGUCGAACGCGAAAGGGGGCAACCCUGAGUAGAGUGGCGCACGGGUGAGUAACGCAUCGGAACGUAUCCAGUAGUGGGGGACAACCAGUCGAAAGAUUGGCUAAUACCGCAUACGCUGGUAACAGGAAAGCGGGGGACCGUAAGGCCUCGCGCUAUUGGAGCGGCCGAUGUCCGAUUAGCUAGUUGGUGGGGUAACUGCCCACCAAGGCGACGAUCGGUAGCUGGUCUGAGAGGACGACCAGCCA